rnacentral:rRNA from 1 species
AGUGAACGCUGGCGGUAGGCCUAACACAUGCAAGUCGAACGGCAGCACAGUAAGAGCUUGCUCUUACGGGUGGCGAGUGGCGGACGGGUGAGGAAUACAUCGGCAUCUACUUUUUCGUGGGGGAUAACGUGGGGCAACUUACGAUACUACCGCAUACGACCUACGGGUGAAAGCAGGGGAUCUUGGGACCUUGCGCGAUUGAAUGAGCCGAUGUCGGAUUAGCUAGUUGGCGGGGUAAAGGCACACCAAGGCGACGAUCCGUAGCUGGUCUGAGAGGAUGAUCAGCCACACUGGAACUGAGACACGGUCCAGACUCCUACGGGAGGCAGCAGUGGGGAAUAUUGGACAAUGGGCGCAAGCCUGAUCCAGCCAUACCGCGUGAGUGAAGAAGGCCUUCGGGUUGUAAAGCCCUGUUGUUGGGAAAGAAAAGCAGCAGGUUAAUACCCCGCUGUUCUGACGGUACCCAAAGAAUAAGCACCGGCUAACUUCGUG